rnacentral:lncRNA from 1 species
CUUUUCUUUUUCUUUUUUUGGCAUUAUUGAAUUUGUUUGACCGUGUGAAUACUAGUUUCAAUUUUUGGGUAUUAACACCAUGUGAGAUAUAAGGCAAGCAAAACUGGAGGGUGGGGACAUAUUGAUGAUGAGCUACAGAGAAUGAAAAGUUUCUAUGGUGAUAAGGGAACAAUGAGUAUGUUCCGAUACCAUAAUUAGAAUAAGUAGGAGAUUGUUAAAUGCCACUAGAAUGUAUUGUGUUCUUAGGUCUUAAAAUGUCGCUUAUUCUGCAUAUUUAUGAAUGAAACUGCUAUCUCAAAACUUCUGAGGGUAAAGAUGUGUUUGGUAUUGAGUACAGGCAAUGGUAGCUUUUAACCUAAAAGCUUAGAAGUUAAGUUGAUUUGAUCCCACACGUAUAUGAUGAGAAACCUAUAAUAUCUUCACUACUUUUGUCAAAAUUGUUUUUUAAAAGUCAUAUUUACUACACACUAUCAACUUUUAUUUCUUAGUUACAACUUUUUCUUGGCAACAACGGUGGCUUAAAAGAUAUAACACCUCAAUACUAAACAGGGCCUACAAUCUACUGAUAGGCGUGGCCGCACAACCUGCUUGUACGUACAAAGUCUUAUACUUGCUAUAAAUCGAGUGGUCUCUAUCUGUUCCUUAGUUCUCCUCUCUUUUUCCUUUUUCCCACAUAUGAAGGAGAAUAUCAGAAUGUGAGAGGGAGCAAUCAUGGUUGUGGGUGAUGCAACAAUGUUGUAUUUGCUACUCUCAGUACAUACCUCAAGUGUGUCUUUUUUUGUGUUGGUCAUGUAUGAUAUUAAUGACUAGCAUCACAUGCACAAGAGGAUGUUAAUGUUCCCGUAUUGCCUUUAUGCCCCUUAUUGCCUUUAUGCCGCUAUGUAAAUUGCACAAGGAAAUGUCCUUCAUGAUUGACUAAGGCUGAUACUAAUGCUGUCGUGGUAUCUUUUACUGUGUGGAUGAAAACUUGGUAUCUUUUACUGUGUGGAUGAAAACUUUGUUUCAACUCUUUUAUUUGGAUAGGGAACUAUUGUCCUUGUUUUCCAACCAGCUGAGGAAGGAGGUGGAGGAGCAAAGAAAAUGUUAGAUGCUGGAGCUCU